UCAAGCUACUAAGGGCAUACGGCGGAUGCCUAGGCGCCAUCAGCCGAUGAAGGACGCGGUAAGCUGCGAAAAGCUACGGGGAACUGCAAGCAAGUAUUGAUCCGUAGAUGUCCGAAUGGGGAAACCCACCUGCCGUCAUGGGCAGGUAUCCGAAAGGAAGGGAACCCGGGGAACUGAAACAUCUAAGUACCCGGAGGAAGAGAAAUCAAACGAGAUGCCCACAGUAGCGGCGAGCGAAGAGGGCAGAGGGCAAACCGGUGAGCUACGGCUCUCCGGGGUUGAGGACUGCAUUUAGUCUCAAUGGUUUAUCCGAACUACCUGGAAAGGUAGGCAACACAGUGUAAAAGCCACGUAGGUUAAAGACCAGAGAGAUGAGCAGUAUCCAGAGUACCACGAGGCACGAGGAAUCUUGUGGGAAGCCGGGGGGACCACCCUCCAACCCUAAACACUGAAUGGCGACCGAUAGCGCAUAGUACCGUGAGGGAAAGGUGAAAAGAACCCCGGGAGGGGAGUGAAAGAGAACCUGAAACCGUAUGUCUACAAGCAGUCGGAGCGAAAGCGACGGCGUGCCUAUUGAAGAAUGAACCAACGAGUUACGUGCACUAGCGAGGUUAAGUGGAAGACACGGAGCCGAAGCGAAAGCGAGUCUUAAGAGGGCGGAUAGUUAGUGUACGUAGACCCGAAACCGCAGUGAUCUACCCAUGUCCAGGUUGAAGCGCAGGUAAAAUUGCGUGGAGGACCGAACCUGUGAGCGUUGAAAAGCUUUAGGAUGAGAUGUGGGUAGAGGUGAAAUUCCAAUCGAACGCGGAGAUAGCUGGUUCUCCCCGAAAUAGCUUUAGGGCUAGCCUCAAGUAGUAAGUAUAGGCGGUAGAGCACUGAUCGGGCUAGGGGCCAUAAAGGUUACCGAACCCUGUCAAACUCCGAAUGGUUAUACUGUAGAGCUUGGGAGUCAGACUACGAGUGAUAAGAUCCGUGGUCAAAAGGGAAACAGCCCAGACCACCAGCUAAGGUCCCCAAUGUCGUACUAAGUGGAAAAGGAUGUGGGGUCUCUAAAACAACCAGGAUGUUGGCUUAGAAGCAGCCACCAUUUAAAGAGUGCGUAAUAGCUCACUGGUCGAGAGACCCUGCGCCGAAGAUUACCGGGGCUAAAGUACGAAACCGAAGCUGUGGCUACGACUUAGGUCGUGGGGUAGGGGAGCGUUCUGUGAGGGCUGAAGUCGUUCUGUAAGGAACGGUGGACUUCACAGAAGUGAGAAUGUUGGUAUGAGUAGCGAAAAGAAUGGUGAGAAUCCAUUCCACCGAAAGCAUAAGGAUUCCUGGGCAACGAUCGUCGUCCCAGGGUAAGUCGGGACCUAAUCCGAGGCAUGGAGCGUAGGAGAUGGACAACUGGCAGAUAUUCCAGUACCGGUAAUGAUUGUUUGAGCGAUGGAGUGACACAGGAGGGCAGGCAGGCAGGAGAUUGGUUGUUCCUGUACAAGCGUGUAGGGUGGAACGUAGGCAAAUCCGCGUUCUGUGAGCCUGAGGCGUGAUGUGGAGGUUCCGGAAACGGAACUGAAGCUGCUGACCCCACACUGUCGAGAAAAGCUUCUAGUUAGAGAAUUACCGCCCGUACCGUAAACCGACACAGGUAUGCGGGGAGAGAAUCCUAAGGUGCGCGGGAGAACCCUCGUUAAGGAACUCGGCAAAAUGUACCCGUAACUUCGGGAUAAGGGUAGCCGCUGUUGUGAAGUCUGAACAGACGGAGCAUGAGGCGGUCGCAGAGAAGAGGCCCAAGCGACUGUUUACCACAAACACAGGUGCCUGCUAAAGAGAAAUCUGACGUAUAGGUGCUGACACCUGCCCAGUGCCGGAAGGUUAAGGAAGGAUGUCCGGAGCAAUCCAAAGCAUUCGACCGAAGCCCCGGUGAACGGCGGCCGUAACUAUAACGGUCCUAAGGUAGCGAAAUUCCUUGUCGGGUAAG
rnacentral:rRNA from 1 species